rnacentral:rRNA from 1 species
UGCAGAGGUCUCAAGCGUUGUUCGGAAUCACUGGGCGUAAAGGGUGCGUAGGCGGCGGAGUAAGUCGGGUGUGAAAUUUGAGGGCUCAACCUUCAACUAGCACCUGAUACUGCUUCGCUAGAGGCCUGAAGAGGAGCUUGGAAUUCUCGGUGUAGCAGUGAAAUGCGUAGAUUUCGAGAAGAACGCUCGCAGCGAAAGCGAAGCUCUGGUCAGGCUCUGACGCUGAGGCACGAAGGCUAGGGGAGCAAACGGG